UGUAGUUCAGUUGGUAGAAUGCUUGCCUAGCAUGCAUGAAGCCCUGGGUUCAAAUUCCAGUA
rnacentral:tRNA from 1 species